rnacentral:tRNA from 1 species
ACCAGUGUGGCAUAGUGGUUUGAGUAUUGGACUAUGACUCUGGAGGCUAGGGUUUGAAUCCCCACUCGGCCA